UACAGAGGUGGCAAGCGUUGUUCGGAAUUACUGGGCGUAAAGGGCGCGUAGGCGGUCUUGUAAGUCUCGUGUGAAAUCCCUCGGCUUAACUGAGGAACUGCACGGGAUACUGCAUGACUUGAGAUCGGGAGAGGGAAGCGGAAUUCCGGGUGUAGCGGUGAAAUGCGUAGAUAUCCGGAGGAACACCGGUGGCGAAGGCGGCUUCCUGGACCGACACUGACGCUGAGGCACGAAAGCGUGGGGAGCAAACAGG
rnacentral:rRNA from 1 species